rnacentral:rRNA from 1 species
GAUGAACGCUGGCGGCGUGCCUAAUACAUGCAAGUCGAGCGAACGGACGAGAAGCUUGCUUCUCUGAUGUUAGCGGCGGACGGGUGAGUAACACGUGGAUAACCUACCUAUAAGACUGGGAUAACUUCGGGAAACCGUAGCUAAUACCGGAUAAUAUUUUGAACCGCAUGGUUCAAAAGUGAAAGACGGUCUUGCUGUCACUUAUAUAUGGAUCCGCGCUGCAUUAGCUAGUUGGUAAGGUAACGGCUUACCAAGGCAACGAUGCUUAGCCGACCUGAGAGGGUGAUCGGCCACACUGGAACUGAGACACGGUCCAGACUCCUACGGGAGGCAGCAGUAGGGAAUCUUCCGCAAUGGGCGAAAGCCUGACGGAGCAACGCCGCGUGAGUGAUGAAGGUCUUCGGAUCGUAAAACUCUGUUAUUAGGGAAGAACAUAUGUGUAAGUAACUGUGCACAUCUUGACGGUACCUAAUCAGAAAGCCACGGCUAACUACGUG